AAACAAAACAGAUGAAAGUAGGCGCCUCUCUGAAUCCUGGAAACGUGAAGAACCACCGGCACAAAAUACACACCUGACAUUAAAAUGUUUCAUUUUAUCUUCAAAACCUCUCUCCAUCUUCAACAAACCAGAACCCUGAAUGCCAAUAUCAGAUCCCUCACCACUCUCAGCAUUUGUGCCUACCCAGCACUCACAGACUAUCUCACAAACACUUUGGCUUUCACCCCAGAGUCAGCUCUUCAAGUCUCCAAGAAAAUCCAUGGUAGACCCCCCAACAAUCCCUACCCAGUCCACUCCCUCUUCGAACAUUACGGUUUUACCCCUACCCACAUAGCCAAAAUCAUCACCAUAUGCCCAUCCUUCCUCUGGGCAAACCCAGAAAAAACCCUCAAGCCCAAGCUAGACUUUCUCGCCCAAAAUGGCAUUUAUGGUCAAGACCUUGUAAGCACAAUCACCAACAACCCCAGAAUUCUAGAGCGGAGUUUGAACAAACAGAUUGCGCCCUGUAUUGGGUUCCUCAAGAGCUUUCUUGGGUCUGCCUCGGCUUUGUUGUCGCACUUUUCGGUCAAGCGUGGUACUGCGGUUGUGCUCAGAUUUUCUGACUCUAUGGGCGCGAACGCUGAGACUCUAAGACAACACGGUGUGCCUCACAGUAACAUUAUAAAGAUGAUCGCGUGCCAGCCACGGAUAUUUUCAAGGGAUGUUGAGGUUUUCAGUAAGAUUGUGAGGGAGGUUGAGGAACUGGGUUUCAAUCCGUUGAGCAUGAUGUUCAUCCAUGGCGUGUGUACGGUUUUUUCGAUGAGGAAGGACAAGUGGGUUUCAAAAUUUGAGGUGUUGAAGAGUUUUGGGUGGUCGGAGGCGGAGUUUCAGGCUUUGUUCUUGAAGCAACCCCCGGUAAUGAGGUCGUCGGAGGAGCGAUUAAAGAGGGCAUUGGACUUUUUCAUGAACAAGAUGGGGUGGGGCACUUCGGACAUUCUCAAGUACCCAGUUUUGCUUUGCUUGAGCUUUGAAAAGAGGGUGUUGCCGAGGUGGUCGAUACUUCAAGUUUUGAUUGCCAAAGGUGUUAUAACCAAGAGCAAGAAGACUACUGCGAAGGCAUUUAUGCAAACUGAGGACAAGUUUGUGAGCGAGUAUGUGAACGGAUAUGAAGAGCAUGCGCCUGAACUUUUGGAGAUGUACCAAAAAAAGCUCCAAGGUUUAUGAUAUGUGACUCUGUUUCCUUGCAAUGAGGGUAGGUUGGAUGGCUGGUGCGGUCCUGAGAUUGGUCAUCAAGGAGUUUGAAGGUUUUUCAUGGACCAAUUGCUUCUCAGUUCCCACUGUAUUUGUUGUGUCAAAAGAACAUGAUGGUCACUGUAUUUGUUUGAAGGUUUUUGUGUAUGUAAUAUUUUUGGGGCCUCCAUUUUCAGUUCCAUGCUACCUGUUUGGUUUCGACCCAAACAACAAAUUAACGAUGAGCAGCUGGCCUACUUCUCCAUUCAAGACAGCCCCUCCAUCAUUUAGGCCGUCACUCUUCUCGGCUUUUCCUCCGAGGCUUGGGUGGGUCUCAAUUCUUUUGUGAUGUAUCAACUCAUGGACCCAUGUCUACCCAUCUGAGGGCAUUUUAUGUUAGGUCUUUCAAGGAGGUUUCAAGUUUUGGGAGUCGAGGAGAUUUCAUGUAGAUGUUAUUGGAUCUUCAAAAGUCUUUUGAUUUGGAUACCAAAAGUAGAGAAAAUAUUGACAAUCAUAAUCUGAUUGAAAGGAGUUGUCUGGCUAAUCCAUGCUAUUGCCCUUGGGGUUUCUAGGACGCAUCUUUUUGUUCUAGGCAGAUCUUGAUGCUUAUGGACUCAAUGGAAUGAUUCGACCCUUUGAGGGUGCCGAAAUAAUGGGUUUGGUGAAA